AUUGAACGCUGGCGGCAUGCCUUACACAUGCAAGUCGAACGGUAACAGGUCUUCGGAUGCUGACGAGUGGCGAACGGGUGAGUAAUACAUCGGAACGUGCCUAGUAGUGGGGGAUAACUACUCGAAAGAGUGGCUAAUACCGCAUGAGAUCUACGGAUGAAAGCAGGGGAUCGAAAGACCUUGUGCUACUAGAGCGGCCGAUGGCAGAUUAGGUAGUUGGUGGGAUAAAAACUUACCAAGCCGACGAUCUGUAGCUGGUCUGAGAGGACGAUCAGCCACACUGGGACUGAGACACGGCCCAGACUCCUACGGGAGGCAGCAGUGGGGAAUUUUGGACAAUGGGCGAAAGCCUGAUCCAGCAAUGCCGCGUGCAGGAUGAAGGCCUUCGGGUUGUAAACUGCUUUUGUACGGAACGAAAGGCCCUGGGUUAAUACCCUGGGGUCAUGACGGUACCGUAAGAAUAAGCACCGGCUAACUACGUGCCAGCCGCCGCGGUAAAAC
rnacentral:rRNA from 1 species